rnacentral:tRNA from 1 species
GGGUAUAUAGUUCAGUGGUGGAGUGCAUGCCUUGCAUGCACAAGGUCCUGGGUUCAAUUCCCAGUACCUCUG